AUCCAAGGUGAGUCCCUCUCCAAGGGGCUGACUAGUGCCCCUCUUAGGACAGUAGCCACCUACAUAGCAUACUUAG
rnacentral:snoRNA from 1 species